rnacentral:rRNA from 1 species
ACUAGAGUAGCACUCGCAUAUCAAUAAGCGGAGGAAAAGAAACUAACAAGGAUUCCCCUAGUAACGGCGAGUGAAGCGGGAAGAGCUCAAAUUUGAAAUCUUAAAGGGUUUCCCUUUACGAAUUGUAGUUUAAAGAAGUGUUUUCUGUUGAGGUUUUGGUAAAAGUUCUUUGGAAUAGGACAUCAUAGAGGGUGAGAAUCCCGUAUUUGACCUUUACUUUCAACUUUGUGAUACACUUUCAAAGAGUCGGAUUGUUUGGGAAUGCAGUCCAAAAUGGGUGGUAAAUUUCAUCUAAAGCUAAAUAUUGGCGAGAGACCGAUAGCGAACAAGUACCGUGAGGGAAAGAUGAAAAGAACUUUGAAAAGAGAGUUAAACAGUACGUGAAAUUGUCAAAAGGGAAGCGUUUGACACCAGUGUUGUUUUUCUGAAAAUCAAUUAAAGAACUGUUUAUGCUAAGCUGUUUAGACUUUAUCAGCUAUCUGUUUAGUUUUGAGCUUUUCUUUAAUGCACUUUUCAGUUAACAAGUCAACAUCAAUUUCUUUUGCUGUAAAAAAGCUUGAGGAAGGUGGCUUGAGAUUCGUCUUAAGUGUUUAUAGCCUCUUGCCUAUGCAGUCGGAGAGAUUGAGGUCUGCAGCGUAGAUCCUUCGGGGCUAAAUGCAUUUGUGCUAAGUUAUAGCAUUUUAUAGACAACUUGUUGACUAUGAUUUGUCUUGUAGCUUACUCGCUUAUGUUAUUUUACCUACGCUUAGGAUGUUGAUCUACAGAGCGAGAGU